rnacentral:rRNA from 1 species
GACAGAGGUGCCGAGCGUUAGGCGGAAUCACUGGGCUUAAAGCGUGUGUAGGCGGGCGGGCAAGUACCUUGUGAAAUCCCACGGCUCAACCGUGGAACUGCUGGGUAUACUGCCUGUCUUGAGCCAGCCAGGGGCAGUCGGGAACAGACGGUGGAGCGGUGAAAUGCGUAGAUAUCGUCUGGAACGCCAAAGGUGAAAACAGACUGCUGGGGCUGUGCUGACGCUGAGACACGAAAGCCAGGGGAGCGAACGGG